rnacentral:lncRNA from 1 species
UGGCUGCCGGGUGCCUUCUCUUCUUGAACCGCGCACGAUUUCUCCGUCUGGUGGGCAGCAGGCCGGGAAGGAAGAGAAAAAGGAGCAAACCGGUCGCGGAACGAGGCGAAACCUCUAGGACGAUAAUUAGCGAUCGAGGGUCCCGAGGAAGACUCGGGCCAUCUCGUUAUCCACGCCACGGCGCCCAGCGUGACGUCAUCGCGCGUGUGGAGACUGCCGCGAAGAGGGUAUAAGGUACGCGUCGCGUGCACACACGUAUGCGUUAAACAGGUGUGCAUGUACGAGACUCGCGCCAACAGUGGUAGAGAGGGAAUAUCUAUUGGGAGAAGAUGAAAGAGAGAAGAGGAGAAGUGGAAAUGAGGUAAAAAAAGAAAGAGAGAAGAACAGAAUCCGAAUACACAUCGGGACUCUUAGCGUAUACGUAGAGAACGGGAGAAUCCUACGCUUGUGUAAAGUAUUCAUUGGAAGGAAGAGGGGGAAGACGCGCCGAAGUAUUCCGAACUCGACCGAAAGGUUUCCCCCACUCGCGUCAACGAUUCAGUCGGAGCUUCGCUUUCGUGUUUCCUCGGUUGCCUUCAUGUCAGUACGUUCUCGGCCGAUGUUAGGGGUAGUUCGUCUCUCGAUACGACGACUCGCACGUGUAUCGUUUAUGCCGCGUCGUGUAUCUUGUCGUGCUUGUCGAACAGGAGCGUGCGCACGAAGGAAAAUAUUUGGAGAAAUCGUGUGUCCGGUAUCUUUGUGAAUCGUUGACGGGAAUGACUUGAACGUAAGGAAGACGCGCAUUGUGUGAUCUGCUACCGUGUGCAAGCUUCGAUUGCUCGUCGUGACACACGUUACCGUGCAUACGUUUACGGAGCUGAUUUAGUGGCGGGCAUCGGGUUGUGUAUAUGGUGUGUACACAGAACUCCAACGGACCGAGGUUAGCCGUCUGGUGGCGGGCAACUAGGCAGAAAAAAGAUAUAAAAUACACGGAAGAAGCGACGAGGUUUCGUGUAGAGAAGAGUGGUGAUUUCUGAACUCCGUAAUCGCAGUUAUUCCGUCUUCGUUUACCUGAUAAUGGAUUAAUUUUCGCCGGGGAAUUCACCCCGGCUACAGCCUGGUCUGGAGCAGAACACACAGCACCGCGGCAGCACUCAGCGAUAAAUCAAGCAAUUAUGUGUACAAUAAGCAAACCGACGAUAUCAGAAUGUCUCUUAUCUGGAAGAUCUUGGUUUCUAAAAUCGGAAUUGGAUACGUGCACUAAUCCAGAGAAAAAUUUACAACAAGAUUUAAAAAAUUUAAUAUAGCAGUACUGGAAUGGUAAUUAAGAUGUCAGUAAAAUAAAAGAAAUACAUAAUAUAAAAAUUAAGCAAACAAUAUGUAAUAAACAUUUCAAUAAUAUAUUCAAUUUUUUAUUUCAAUAAUUGCACAAGUUGAUGCAUAUGCAAACGUGAGUAUACUCAUGACCGGUCAACAACGUUUGUGCAUGAAAAUACGAGUACCUCGCGACCGGUCAACAAUGUGUUAACACAUCGCGAACCAGACGUUUUAUCGCUAGUUGUAUUUAGAGACCAGGUAUUUUUGUAGUGCUUCGUAUAUUUGAAUUACCUUUUAGAUAAAUGUACAGGAAAUUUAUUUAACAUUUUCGCAACUAUGAAUCCAUAUAUGUAUGUAUAUGGAUUUCUAAUGAAAUAUUUAAUCAUUGAAUGUAAAAAAAAGAU